GUAUGGUGCUGGGUGCAGAUGCAGUGUGGCUCUGGAUAGCACCUUAUGGACAGUUGUGUCCCCAAGGAAGGAUGAGAAUAGCUACUGAAGUCCUAAACAGCAAGCCUAACUCAAGCCAUUGGCACACAGGCAUUAGACAGAAAGCUGGAAGUUGAAAUGGUGGAGUCCAACUUGCCUGGACCAGCUUAAUGGUUCUGCUCCUGGUAACGUUUUUAUCCAUGGAUGACUUGCUUGGGUAAGGACAUGAAGACAGUUCCUGUCAUACCUUUUAAAGGUACAUGUUUUAUUGAUGUUAACGUUAAUUGAUUGAGCUACUGUUAGUGAUGAUUUUAAAAUUAAAGCAGAUGGGAAUCUCUCUGAGAAAGAAAAUGGAGAUUAAUCUUAAACUGAAACAGUAGUUGGGAAAUCUUUUAGAAAUCCACCUAUUACUACCUAUUGGUAAAGGAGAUAAAAUUUCUACAGGUAUGGAGAGUCGGCUUGACUACACUGUGUGGAGCAACUUUUAAAGAAGCAAAGGUAUAGCAGUCCCAAGUAUUUCUUUUUUUUUUUUUUAGACAAGAGUCUAGCUCUUGCCCAGAAUGGAGUGCAGCGGCACUAUCAGUUCACUGCAACCUCUGCCUACCAGGUUCAAGGAAUUCUCCUGCCUCAGCCUCUUGAGUAGCUGGGAUUACAGGCAUGUGACACCAUGCCUGGCUAAUUUUUGUACAGCUAUGUUGUCCAGGCUGGUCUCGAACUCUUGACCUCAAGUGAUACUGCCCGCACUGACCUCCCAAAGUGCUGGGAUUACAGGCGUGAGCCACCGUGCCCCGCCUCAAGUCUGGUUUUUAAGUGUUGUAGAGCCGAUACAAUGAUGAUAACAUAGUUCAGCAGACUAACGCUGAUGAGCAAUAUUAAGUCUUUCGCUCCUAUCUGAUGUAUCUGGCGGUAACAUUCUAGUUUAUGCCCUGAAAAGGGGAAUAUAGCCAUUCUAUAAUGUUUGGAGAUUUUGGAUUACUCCUAAUUGUAUGCAAGUUGUCUUACUGUGUAUUGUCCCUUAAUUUCAGGACUCAGAAUUCAUGAUUGAAGAAAUGCAGGUUAGUUUAAACUUUUAAGGAAAUUUUUAAGGUGGCAAAAGGUU
rnacentral:sRNA from 1 species